GUGACUAGUGACAGAGUGUGGAAGAGGGUGACUAGGGACAGAGGGGGUGAUUAAUGACAGAGUGAGGGAGGGGGUGACUAGUGACAGUGAGGGAGCGGGUGACAGUGACAGAGUUAGGGAGGGAGUGACUAGUGACAGUCACUCCCUCCCUCUGUCACUAGUCACCCCCUCUCCCUCCCUAUGUCACUAGUCACCCCCACUUACUGUGUUUCCCCCUCACUCUGCCACCACUCAACCCCUCCCUCCCUCACUCUGCCACCAGGUACCCCCUCACUCUGCCACCUGUCACAACCUCCCACACUCUUCCACCUGUCACCUUCUCCCUCACACACUGUCACCUGUCACAUAUGCAUUCACACAG